rnacentral:rRNA from 1 species
CCUACGGGAGGCAGCAGUGAGGAAUAUUGGUCAAUGGGCGAGAGCCUGAACCAGCCAAGUCGCGUGAGGGAAGACGGCCCUAUGGGUUGUAAACCUCUUUUAGAUGGGAGUAAAGUGUUCUACGCGUAGGAUAUUGCAAGUACCAUCAGAAUAAGCAUCGGCUAAUUCCGUGCCAGCAGCCGCGGUAAUACGGAAGAUGCGAGCGUUAUCCGGAUUUAUUGGGUUUAAAGGGUGCGUAGGCGGGUGAUUAAGUCAGCGGUGAAAUGCGUCAGCUUAACUGGCGAACUGCCAUUGAAACUGGUUACCUUGAGUGUAGCGGAAGUAUGCGGAAUGCGUGGUGUAGCGGUGAAAUGCAUAGAUAUCACGCAGAACUCCGAUUGCGAAGGCAGCAUACCAUACUAUAACUGACGCUGAAGCACGAAAG